GUAUCUGAAUAGGUACGCGUACGUGUCGUGCACGCAUGAAUCGAAUGACUACAAAAGAUCAACCGAAAAGAAAAUUAAUAAAAAUUAAAUUUCUUAAAAAUAAAUAGAAACGUGUCAUUGCAAACAAGAAUUGCAGUAAAAAUUCAAAUUCAACCAAAAUCACUGCAUUCUCAAGUGAUUAUUGCCGAAAAAUGUCGCUCUUUGGCUAUUAAGUAAAUCCAAAUGUGCAAUGCGCGAACUGUUGUGGAGUGGGAAGUGAAGUGAAAAGUAAAUACGCGACUGCGAAAAUGGGCACGAAAUAAGUGAUGGAGUAGUGAACAACAACAAACGUCGUGCAUAAAAGCAAAAAACAUAUAAUUAAAACAGCCACUAAUUCAUUAAGCAACUACAACAAAAGAACAGAAAUAUACAUAAAUUACAACAACUUUAAUCAAUGCCAACCUUACAUAUGUAUGCUCUACAAUAAAAACAAACUCAGCUGAAACAACCAGGCUAUCAACAAAAAACAAAAAAAUAGCAAAAAUUAAAAGAAACACCGCAAAAAUGUCGGCAACACGCACCUCGGAUUGUCGUAAAUUUUCACCAAAUAUCUUCAACAAAAGCAAAUGCAGUCACUGUUUUCGUCAGCGCGAGGAGCAUAGCGCCGCCGCCUUGGAAUGUAAUCGGGUAAGCUUGCGAACAGAAUUAACUACAAAAUAUUAAAGGAAUUAAAGAAUUAACAAUAGAAGGUAAACGUAGGUAGGUAAAAUGGUUGAAGUGCCAGUCUGGCACUCCUCAAGUAGCACUAA